GGGAGGCUUGAGCGGAGCGGCUGCAGAUUACAAGUCCUACUAUCCUGUGUGAAAUCGUGAGAGGGACUCUGGUUGCAUGAGUGCUUUUGUCGGAGGGAAUAGGGCGAAUGGGGACUGAAACUGAGCCAACAUGUCCUGAUCAUCAGCUCAAGCAACACGCUGACCUCAAGCAGUCAACUGCUCACCCUCCAGUUGUUAAACUGCCUAAAGGACUGGUUGGGUCAAAAUGCACCGCUGUAGUUAACAUAGCUGGGGUGGAAAGUAACUGCCUUUUAGACACAGGUUCUCAAGUUACAACCAUCCCUGUGUCUUUCUACAACCAGAACCUGUCUGACCAACAAGUGAAACCCCUUAACAAACUGUUGGAGGUUGAAGGUGCAGCUGGCCAGUCAGUCCCACAUUUGGGCUAUGUGGAGAUGACGGUGGCUUUUCCCAAAGACUUUCUGGGAGCCAACUUUGAAGUGCCAACAUUAGCACUUGUGGUCCCUGACUUGCGUCCUGACACUCCAUUACAAGUUCUUAUAGGAACUAAUACCCUCGAUGUACUUUACGAGCUGUAUUCCAACAGUGAGA